rnacentral:tRNA from 1 species
ACAAGGUACCCCGUAGGAGAACCAGCGGCUGGAUCACCUCCUUUCUAAGGAUAAUCGGAAAGCGACAGGGACUUAAGUGACAAUUUGUUUGUUUCAAAGUUUUGUUUAGUUCAGAGUGUGAUACUUUAAUAGGUAUCAUGGUCUCAAAGUGAUCCUAUGGGGAAUUAGCUCAGCUGGGAGAGCACCUNCUUUGCAAGCAGGGGGUCANCGGUUCGAUCCCGCUAUUCUCCAUAGCUAGUCGAAAGGCUAGCAUGUUGUACAUUGAAAACUGAAUAGUAACAAAUUCUUUUAAAAGCAAUCGUAAGAUUGCACUAAAA